GCUGGGGCUGGGGUUCAGCGGUAGAGCGCUCACCUAGCAUGUGCGGGGCCCUGGGUUCAAUCCUCAGCACCACAUCA
rnacentral:tRNA from 1 species